UAAAUAGCAGCAUGAGUUGUCAUUAAUUGGGGGAAAAUCAACUGAGUCAGUUUCGGCAAGUAGCAGCUGUCUCUCUUAAGUUUACAUAGGCCAGUAUACUUGGAUGAGCUAUACGUAAGAAGCCUUGCGUGUUUAAGCAUUAGAUCAGACCUCAGCUUCCUUGAUUUUUUCUUUCUCUCCUCCGUCCAAAAUUAACUGUAUGCUAGCUCUCAUUCACAACAAGAUAUUACGUGAGAACCCAUCAAGUUGGUAAAGAUUGAAUCAUUAAGCAACGUUGAAGAAGAAUAAGGGCAAAGUUUUAGCAAAGGAAGAAAUUAAAUUAUCAAGGGCUGAAGAACAGAGUUCAACUUAAGGUAAUUUAUAUUUUAUAUUAUGAGCAGAAAGUGGGUUAGCAUGUCAUUAGUUAGUAAGUUAACUGAGUUUUUGUAACUACUUGCAUAAAACAGAGUUACAUUGCAUGUCAAGUAUGCUCAGGUUUCCAUGUUAUCGAGUUAUGUGAUAAUCAAAAGAAUUACUUGAAUAGUCAUGUAUUGUUAAUAUUUUGGACUACUAUUGUUUGAUAUAUAGCUAGAGGAGUUUAGCUUGGGCUGAGGAGACAUAAGGAUGGUGAUAUGGAUUUAAGAUGUAAAUCAAUGGAUGAGGAAUUUGUAACUUUAAACUGUACCCCCCACCUGUUUGCUAAAAGUUCUAAAAGAACUUUUUGGUUAAAAAUGGAAUAUUAGAACUGAGUAAAGCAUGGACCUGGUUUAGUUAACACAUUUGAUAACAGUUAGAAAGUUUGAGCUUGCUAGCUUAUAAUGAAAAAUCAAUUUCUAGCCAAAACGAAAGAUUAAACUUCAAUGUGUUAAGCUAUUUUUACUCACUGUUUUGGGGAACUUAUUGAAACUAAAAUAGAGGUUUUAUAAUUUCUAAAAAUAUUUCCAUAUGCUAUAUGCAAUAUAUCUCAUAGUGGAUGUAAUUGAUCAUAGGGGCUAGAAUUAAGAAAUUAGGAAAAUAGCUAUGUUGAGCACAGGGUGGCUGCUGCCUCGGCAGCAGCAGCAGGCCUAUUGGGCCAUGGCUGGAGUUCUUUUUGGGGCUAAUAAUCAUUGUGUUUGUGUAGCUAAAUAUCACUUGGUUGUUGGUGCAUUAUCUAAUGAAUGCAUCAUCUUUGUUUUGCUAAAAAAGGAUCAUUAUAAAUCAAAAUUAUAGCUUAAGAGGAGGAGCACAACUGCUGUACAUUGGCAGCAGCAAGCGUGUCACAGCAGCAGUUGCCUCGGCUGAGCUGGAGGCAGCAGUUGCCUCGGCUGAGCUGGGGGUUCUCCUUUGAGCUCUCAGCCAGUAUAGUUAGAAUGUUUAAAUGUGUUGUUUUGCAAUUUAUCUAAAUAGAGGAGUAUGCUAUCUAUAUUAUUUCCAACAAGAGUAGCAUGUUAGAAGGCAUGGAUUGAACUUUAGAAAGGAAGGAAUGAGGAGUUAAAAGAACGAAGUUGCUGCCAUUGGCAGUAGCGGUUCUUAUUGCAUAACAGCAAAGGCUGUUUUGGUAAGCAUUGGGGUUGAUGUGAUUUUGUAUUCGUAAUAGUUAUGGAUUGAUAUAUUAUGUGGGUAUAUCAAUUACAAUUAUCAUAAAUCCUUUGCAACUAAAUUAAUACAUUAGGAGUUAAUUUUGUGCAAGAUAAGAAGGGUCAAGGGCUGCUGCCUAUGGGCAGCAGCAGAGAACAGCAGUUGACCAUAAGGGACUGCUUUGUCCUGGUGCUAAGAUAUGAUAGUUGUGAUAAUAUAUGAGUGAGUUAGUAAACUCUAAAACAAAAGCUAUCAUGAAUGGGGCAUCUAAUUUGGAAGUAUUAAACUAAGUUUAAUACUGUUAAAAGCCUUAAAAUGUUGUUUUGGUAUUAUGAAGAAAAACAAGUAUAGUCAAUGCAAUAGUGUAUUGUAAUGGAACUAUAAAGCACGGGAAAGACUAAAAGUUAAUCAUACAAGUUGUAAAUAAUUUCAAAACAUGAAAUUGAUUACAAAGUCACCUUGUAUGCUAGAAGAUAAGAAAAGAGAGUAUGAAUUGCUCAUGAAAUAAGUUCCUCAUCAGAUAGAAAUUAAAUUUAUGAUGUGUUUGUAUGUGAUAAUCAUACUUAAUGAUUGAAAUACCUUAGGUAUUCACCUUGAAUACCUAAGUUAUAAAGAGAAUUGCAAAUUAUACUUAUGGCAAACAAAAGAAGUAAAAGAGAUAUGAACUAAAAUCAUGAAAAGUUCAUGAACAUAAAUUAUGUCAGACCCUAUAAAAGAAAGAAAAGGCUAUUGUAAGAACAUGGAUGAGGUAUUUGAAAAAUGUAUAGAAAUAUUUUAAAUAUAGAAUAUGAACUAAAGACAUGAUCAAUGUGGUUAUGUGAUGUAUAAAUAUGCAAGUUAUAUGACUCGAAUACUUGGCUAAUGUAUUUGUGAAUGGAAAUAUGAUUGUGUAGGAUCUGUGGGAACAAGUUAAGCUGAAUUUUUAUAUUCAUAGUUCACAAACAAGGCAAGUAUUUAAAUCUUACUCUUUAUUGAGCAAGUAUUCGGAGAUUAUUCAUAUGUUGACAGGUUCCUUAAUUUUUGAACUGUCUUUCCUUAUUUAUGAAUAUUAUAAGAUUGAAUAAUCUUUUUAUUCCAAUCAGCUUCAAAAGAUUGGGUAAUGAAUUAUCAUGUGUAUCAAAUGAUAUUCAAUAUACAUGAGUAAAUUGCAGAGAAGUCUGAGCCAUUUCUUCUGGCCAGACAUAGAUGUAAAAUAUUUCAAUUUCUUUAUAUUAAGUCUUGAAAUAUUAUUGUGCCAUGAUUUAAGUUGUCCAGCUAAAUUGUUGUAGUUGGAAUCUAAAACUGAGAAUGAACAUACCCUUGAAUGGGAUAUUUUUAUUGCACUCUGGGAGUGGUGAUGUAGAACAUGAAAAUUGUUCUUGAAAAGAUAGUAUUGAUCAAUACAGGGCAUAAAGGGUUGAUCACCCUACGUGCUCGUAAGAUAAGACGGUUCAUCUGAUAAAAUUUCUGAUUGAACCUUUUCAAGAAAAGAAAAAUAUGUUCAUGGUCUUAAAACCUCUCAGUUAUUCAAUGAUGUUAUGAUAUUUCAGAAAUAUGAAUGAUUCAAGAUUUAUUGCUUUACAGAUUUGAUUCACUGUCAAAGCAUGCUUCAAAGAAACAUUUAUUUCUUGUUGAGUCUUAAAGAAUGCUAUUACUUGCUGAGCAAUUAAAUGCUCAUACUUGUUUUAUUAUAAAUGUUUUUAGCUGAGCAGACUCGAGCGGAAGGAUCUGAAAAAGACAAAGGAAAAGAAAAAGUAACAGAUUAGCUGGGAUUGGUUGUAAUAGAUAGUUUACGUAUUUGUAAAUAUUAAACUAUCAUGUAAUGAAUAUUUAAAGGUCUACGUAUCUGGGAUUAGUAGCACUUUGAUGUAAUAACUUUACUAAGUUUAAGUUUAUUUUAUGUUGAAUGUUUGAUAUCGUGAAGCACUGAAUAAGGGUUUCAAGUACCCGAAUUUGGGGGCGUCACAGCAAAAGUAACAUGAAAAUUUACGUAAUUAAAAGUCACGGAUAUUAAAUAGUUAGACAAACUCAUUAUUAAAAGAAUAUUGUAUACUUAAAC
rnacentral:lncRNA from 1 species